GAUCAUGGCUCAGGACGAACGCUGGCGGCGUGCCUAACACAUGCAAGUCGAACGGAGAUAUGAUUUCGGUUAUAUCUUAGUGGCGAACGGGUGAGUAACGCGUGAGCAACCUGACCUUCAGAGGGGGAUAACACUUGGAAACAGGUGCUAAUACCGCCUAAGACCACGACCCGACAUCGGGAUGCGGUCAAAGGAGCAAUCCGCUGAGGGAGGGGCUCGCGUCCCAUUAGAUAGAUGCGGGGUAACGGCCCACCAUGUCGACGAUGGGUAGCCGAGCUGAGAGGCUAAUCGGCCACACUGGAACUGAGACACGGUCCAGACUCCUACGGGAGGCAGCAGUGGGGAAUAUUGGCAAUGGGCGCAAGCCUGACCCAGCAACGCCGCGUGAGGGAAGAAGGCCUUCGGGUUGUAAACCUCUGUCCUUGGUGACGAAACAAAUGACGGUAGCCAAGGAGGAAGCCCCGGCUAACUACGUG
rnacentral:rRNA from 1 species